rnacentral:rRNA from 1 species
UACGUAGGGUGCAAGCGUUGUCCGGAAUUAUUGGGCGUAAAGAGCUCGUAGGCGGUCUGUCGCGUCUGGUGUGAAAACUCAGGGCUUAACCCUGAGCUUGCAUCGGGUACGGGCAGACUAGAGUGCGGUAGGGGAGAGCUGGAAUUCCUGGUGUAGCGGUGAAAUGCGCAGAGUAUCAGGAGGAACACCGGUGGCGAAGGCGGUUCUCUGGGAAUGUCCUGACGCUGAGGAGCGAAAGUGUGGGGAGCGAACAGG